GGAAACGAGCUCCGCGUCGAUCUUAGUCAUUCAUUCAUCAGACAAAACCGCCGACGAAAACCCUAUCCGCUCACCCGUGCCUCCUCUCUUCCCCUCCCGAACAGAGAGCUCUCGGGUGGAGAGGCUCAACCCGCGUCCAUCACACUCCGGCGGCGCCACAGCCUUCCCUAACCCUAGAUCGACGGGGCCGCCGCCAUCUCAUCUCCUCUUCCAGAAAGCGGGAGUAGUAGUGAAGACCACGAUGGGAUGCUACUCUGUCGGUGAUCAAGGACGGGAAAAAGAAGGCUGUUUGAUGUGUGGAUGGAUUUGAAUGGGACGGACGCAUCACGGUUGAAGGAUGUUCGCCACAACUUAAAAGGAGGUCAAUCAUGUUUAAAUUGUCUUUCUAAAUUGGCUUUCACAUGCAGCAGCACCAUAGGAAUUAGUCCUCAAUCAAGACUUGUCUGGCCUAUGACGACAACAAUGUGUCAGGACAAAGCAUUUUUUGAUUGGAUCAAACGAUGAGUUUUCCAAUUUUUCUACUUCGAAUAUUUACUCGAGUGAGUACCGAGGAGGCGAGAAGCACAACUCGGGUCAUGAGUGAGAAGUAGGAGGGUAUCGGUCAUCUGCAACUUUGGAUGGUUCCCAAGUUGAUUACCGGCGGUCUGAUGCGGGAGAUGCUACGCCAGCCAUGGUCGCUGGCGGAAGGACCUCUGGAGAAAGCGAUAGCUCAGCAUCGAUGGCGACAGCGGCCGGAUAGGUAGGCACUCUCUCCUCUCCCUCUCUCCGGCUUCUCAAACCCUAGCGCCGCCUGCUUUUGGCCGUCUUCUCCAGUGCCGGUGACCGGGAGUCAGCCGACACCGUUCAUCUCCUCCCACCGGUAGCCUUGCCCUGCGCUUCCUCCCCUCACGGCUUUUUCUUGAACAUGGAGGAAGGAUGCGGCUGAACGUAGACAAUGACCGGCAGGGAGAAAAACAAGGUAGAUUUCUGCUCUCAUUUUCUUUCUUUGACGUUUUCUCCUCAUUAGCUAUGGAAUGUUAGCUAACUGACGGUGUUACUUUCUAUAGGAGGUUGGGAUGAUCUACAUGACAAUCUGACCUAGCAGUGUUCAACUUCUUAUUCACUUCUUGUCUUCUCCGCUGUUUUUUCUGUUUGUUUUAGUUCAGAUCAAAGCAAUAGUGACACUUCUGCAUAUAUAGAUUGAAGUGAUUAUUUUUUGUUUUGAUAAGUUCUUCUUGCUGAAGCGAAUAAAGCUUCAUCAGUGCCCAUGAACUAGGAGCUGAUUGGCUUCUAAAGAGGCAUCAAACUUUAAAAGCAAUAUUAUAAUGUAUGGUUAAGAAACUUAAUUGAUCUGAUUUUGUUCCUCUUCAUGGCCUUUUCAAAGUAUAAUUUUGUCCUGGCAAGAGGCAAAUCCUUAACACGUGAAUUGUUUAAAAGGUAUUGUAGGACACCAAAUUUCGAGCAAAAUCGAGAUAUUAGACUUGAAGAUGUCGAUACUGCAUUCAGUGGGUGUGUUUUUUCCUAUUGCGAUUCAACUACAUCAUGCAAUGGAGGCUCAAGGGAGGCAAAAAAAAAAUGCUACCUAGGGGUUUGCUGCUUCCUUUCAGAUACCUAUUCUUUCUCUGAACAGGAAUUUAUUGACGCGUUACAAGUAGCAUGCAGUUCUUGUCCUAUAAACUACACGGCCUAUGAUGAUCCCAACAAUGUUUUCUAGCUCUAUACAUAAGCUUAAGUGAUCUAAAAGAGAUACGAAUGGAAAUUCAAAAUACCUGGAAAAUCCAAUAACGCAAGAGUUAGAGUGAAGAGGUUGCAUACAUAAGCUACGUAAGGAAAUAUAUUCAACCACAGUUAUCUCGCAAACCCGCAGAACAAUUGAAUGUUGAGAAGAUGAAAGGAGGAAACAGUCCUCAGAGUAAAAAAGAAGGUCAUCACUGCAACAUUAUUUAGCUUCAUAUCAUCUACAUCGUGUUAUGUUGUGGCGAGACUGAUGACUUUGAUCUUGGGUAUUAACAGGUUGGAGUGGGAGAUGUUGUAUAAGCCUAAGUGACCACAUGGCCACUACCUAUCAUGCAAUAUGGCGAUUGAUAUGGAUCUAAUCAUGAGAAGAGUAUAAAGACAGAGACAUGAUGGAGGGAAUGCAGAUUGGUCCUCAAUGCGUAUCACUAAGUUUUUUUUGGAAGAAAUGAGGAAAAUUAGCUCCAUGGAAGUUCAUCUGAAUAAUGUAAGUCAUAACUCAAGUUUUGGUUCUGGUUGCCCUGAUUUGGUGGCCUGAUGUACGCAUGCAUAACCUGCUAUAAUCUUAUUCAUGCCUACAAAGUGCUCAGUAAAGCCGCAAAACAAUGUGAAUAUGCAUGAAAAAGGUAUAUUUCUGCUCCAAUCAAACAUUCUCACCCUGAUCCAUCAUUUCUGGAUAUCCGUAUUCUUGAUUUGCGGCCAAAUUAGUUUGUCUAUUUGUCUAUUGUCAGGUUAAUAUCAUGAUAGGAAUAUUAGUGUGUAAUUUUUCUCUUUCUAGGCGAUGAAUGCAUAAAGUAAACCUUUGGACUCCUUCAACUUUUUUAU